rnacentral:rRNA from 1 species
GACGAACGCUGGCGGCGUGCCUAAUACAUGCAAGUCGCACGCAGUGGGGCCGGGUGAGUAACACGUGGGUAACCUCCCAUCAGAAGGGAUAACACUUGGAAACAGGUGCUACACAGAUACUGAUGGAUGGACCCGCGGUGCAUUCACUAGUUGGUGAGGUAACGGCUCACCAGGGCCACGAUGCAUAGUCGAGCUGUGGGGGUGAUGGGCCAGCCUGGGACGGAGACACGGCACGUACUCUUGCGGGCGGCAGCAGUAGGGUAUCUUCGGCAAUGGACGAAGGUCAGACCGAGCAUCGCCGCGUGAGUGAAGGAGGUUUUCGGAUCGUAAAACUCGGUUGUUAGAGUAGCGGUAUCUAACCAGAAAGCCACGGCUAACGACGGGCCAGCAGCAGCGGUAAUUC